rnacentral:misc_RNA from 1 species
GAUGAAGAACGUAGUGAAAUGCGAUACUUGGUGUGAAUUGCAGAAUCCCGUGAACCAUCGAGUCUUUGAACGCAAGUUGCGCCCGAAGCCAUUAGGCCGAGGGCACGCCUGCCUGGGCGUCACACGUCGUUGCCCCCCCAUCUACUCCUUCGGGAUUGCGGGGGGCGGAUGAUGGCCUCCCGUGCGCCUCGUCGCGCGGUUGGCCUAAAUGCCAAGUCCUCGGCGACGCACGCCACGACAAUCGGUGGUUGCGAAACCUCGGUUGCCCGUCGUGUGCGGUCGUUGCGCAUCGAGGGCUCGAAAAAAUUGCCGGGCUUCGGCUCGACUUUCAACGCGACCCCAGGUCAGGCGGGGUACCCGCUGAAUUUAAGCAUAUCAAUAAGCGGAGGA